rnacentral:lncRNA from 1 species
UUAUUAUCCAACGCCAUCUUAGUUUUGAACGUUGUUUUUCAAUUUAGACUUGUUUAUAUUUUCUCGUUUAGGCUAAUUAUAUUUUCCUUCUGGUUUAUAUGAUCCGUUUACCCUAUUUCAACUCUUUAAAAUUCAACAAUCCAUCAUAAAUUGAUGUAAAUUAUAUGGCCUUCCAAAUACCGUUUCGAUCUCUAUCUUCACUGAAGAGACAUUAAUUGUCGAAAUCCGGAUAUGGUGUACAAAUUUUUAGCCCCUCAAGUUUGCGGAAUACCAUCUUCUCCGCAAGUUUAUUGUUUUCUGUUUGGCAUUAAUAGUAAUUAAGAUCCAUAUUGCAUCUCGUGAUAAUUUAUGUGGCAAUCGUCAAUGGCAGUCAGCAGGGUUUAAGAACAUCAGUUUUUCGACCUGAAAAAGUCAAAUGUGUUUAAUUUGUUAAAAUAUACUUAUUACUUUUUUAGUCUUUUGGAAAAUGUUGUUUGUGCUGUAUUUAG